UACGGGGGGGGCAAGCGUUGUUCGGAAUUACUGGGCGUAAAGGGAGCGUAGGUGGGUUGGUAAGUCAGUGGUGAAAUCCCCGAGCUUAACUUGGGAACUGCCAUUGAUACUAUCAGUCUUGAAUACUGUGGAGGUUAGCGGAAUAUGUCAUGUAGCGGUGAAAUGCUUAGAUAUGACAUAGAACACCAAUUGCGAAGGCAGCUGGCUACACAAAUAUUGACACUGAGGCUCGAAAGCGUGGGGAUCAAACAGG
rnacentral:rRNA from 1 species